rnacentral:rRNA from 1 species
UACGUAGGGUGCGAGCGUUAAUCGGAAUUACUGGGCGUAAAGCGUGCGCAGGCGGUUUCCUAAGACAGAUGUGAAAUCCCCGGGCUCAACCUGGGAACUUCGUUUGUGACUGUGUGACUAGAGUACGGCAGAGGGGGGUGGAAUUCCUGGUGUAGCAGUGAAAUGCGUAGAUAUCAGGAGGAACAUCGAUGGCGAAGGCAGCCCCCUGGGCCUGUACUGACGCUCAUGCACGAAAGCGUGGGGAGCAAACAGG